rnacentral:piRNA from 1 species
UGACCCAUCCGUAAGAGUUUAUUGGUUGU